UCCCAUGUGGCUCAGUUGGUAGAGUGUGGUGUUUGCAAUGCCAGGGUUGUGGGUUUGAUUCCCACGGGGGAC
rfam:Salmo salar isolate Sally breed double haploid chromosome ssa10, whole genome shotgun sequence.